UGGGAGUGGAUGCUGAAAUAGUUCUCCAGUUGUUUGCCUGGGAUUCCAGAGCCUUCCUUCAGGUUAUAUAGGCACUGCUUUGGAAACAUUUAUAUGGACAAUGUAAUGUUUACACCUCUGAGGGAGAGGUUUAUGCCAGGACAAAGAGUACAACCACAACUUCCUGGAGAGAGAGAAAAGGAUACAGUUUUAUUGCAACUCCAUUGCCAUGCUCCAUGCACGCAGUCCUCAAUAUCAAUAUGACUGCACUCUGAGCCUUGGCAAGAGCAGAGAGAGAGAUAUCAAUUGGAUUGCUUUAAGGACAACACCCUGAAGAACUCCAGUUAGUGAUGGAGAAGACUGGGAAGGAGGAGGCUGAAGGAUAUGGAAACUGAAGGCAUUGAGAAGAAAGGAAAGGUAACGUCUUUGUGCCUCAUAGCUUUAUUAGGUUCCCAUACAGCCAGGGAACAGAAACGAUGCUAUACUAAGGUGACCAGCUGAAUGCAAAUGUGAAUAGUCUUCAUGUAACCCAUGAAUGGAAAUGUUUUCCCCAAUUAUUCUAUGAAUUCUUUAGAAACCAGAAUAUGUAGAUUACUAGAGUUUUUAGUAACCAGGUUCACUUCUUUAACUAUUUACCAAACAAAAAGGAUGAAAACUAUGACUAACAUUAGUUGCAACCUAUAAUUUGACUAGAUUUACUGCCAAUAAGCAAGAAAAUGAAAUUGUAUAGUCAAUUAUUUUUGUCAAAAAGGAAACUUAUUUUUUAAGAUUCUUUAUUUGAACAAUAUAAGGUAUGUGGACAUGUAUAACAAAUACGUAGAAAAUGACACAAUCCUUGAAUUAUGAAAUCACAGACCAAAAAAUUCCCUUGGGUUUACAAGUUAGCCACAAAUUACCUACAUCAGUAUAAUUUUCAACCUUUUUUAAACUAAAGGCACUCUUCAGAAAAUGCCAGCUCUUAUCUUUCACACAUUUCUUGACUAUAAUAGAAGUAUAAUAGAGCAAUUCUUCUGUUGCAAAGAACUCAGACCACAGCAGGUCAGAAUGUUCUUGAUACUAUGGAUUCCUAUUUGAAUCAUUAGGUUUAUUUUGUGAAUCAUGUAGAUGUUUGCACACCUAAUAAUCUCUUGGCACCCUUAAAAGGAUUUCCUAGCACCCCAGGGUAUCACUGCACCAUGGUUGAGGAUCACUGGUUUAGAUGCUCAAUGAUAUUUUAAAAUUUGAAAUAACAUCAAAGGAAACAAACAAAACCUACCUCCAAAAGUCCUGCUUACUUAGUCCUGAAAUAGGAAAUAAAGACCCAAGAGUAGGACUCAUGUCAGAAAUAUAUUUUUAGAGAAGCUGGUUUUCAAGAGAACAUGGUGUGUCUACACAUUCAAUUAAUGCACAUUAAGGUUACUGUGCACUGCAGUACCUUAAGGCACAUUAACACAUGGCCAGGAAUGUGUCUACAUGUGCUCCCAUGGAAGCAAUUCAAUGAAGGGCUGCUCCAGUCCUGCUCUGCCCCCUGCAGCAGCCAGGGGGAGCUCCAGGCUCCCCCAGGUGCCAGACGCAGGCUGGCAGGGGGCACAGGGGUCAGGCCUGAUCUCGGGGGGGGGGGUGUACUGUCCCACUUCUGGGGCAGCUCCCUGCCAGCCCCAUGCAAAUCGGGGCUCACUGAUCGGCACGGGAUGGGCAGGACUGCACAGUUAAUCUAGUACCUGUAUUUCUUGAUACUAGGAAACCAUGCAUUAGUUUAAUUUACUAUGCAAUAAAUGCACACAUGUAGAUGUGCACAGCACUUUACUGUGCAAUAAAGUGUCUUGUGUAGACGUACCCACUGUUGCCUUCUGUCAUUUCUUAUUGUUGUGCUGAAUUAUCCCUCUCUCAGUCUGAUUCUUUGGAAUGUGUUGUUAUGAAAUUAAAAAUUGUUGCUGCCAAUAAUUGAUUCUAUAUAUCAAAUAAAUACUGGCAUGGCAUGGCAUGAGGCUCCCUGGUAAUAUUACCAGCAUUUUAUUUUCUUUGGGUAGAUACUGCAUUAACUACUUAGAACUAAGUCCUCUGAUCAAGUCAGAAUAGUCAGAACAAGAUUAUGGAUGGAAAGGCAGAGCCUUAAGCUAUUUUUACACUCUGGGCCUUAGUUCAAAUAUUCUCAACCACAGUGUCAGGGUGCCUUGGGAUGUCACAAGAUCUUUUGAAGGGUGGCGCGAAGUGUGAGGAGAUAAGCAGGUGUGAAAGAUAAAUUCAGAUUUAGGCUUGUCCCUUCCUGGCUGCUGCUCUGCCCCCACUGCCUGGCCCCUCUGCAAGGAGGUAAGUGUCACAACCCAGUGAUUUUGGUGCCUCGGCACGAUGGAAUUUUCUUGCCACGAGAGCCUCUUGCACAGCGA